CCCUCAUUCGUACAGAAAAAUGCUUACAUGUCUUGUACCAUGGAGUUCAGGUGGAGGCUAGCCAUGUGACUUACUGCAUUCAGUGUGAAUACAGGUAGCAGAAAAUGGUACAAAGAGAGGCAGAGAAAGAAUCAGGACAGAGAACAAAGAAGGACUUGGGUUGUGGGUAAAAUGUAAAAAAAAUAAAGAGUUGCAGAGGGAAGGAAAAGAGUGAACAUGGGUAUCCGUGGGCAAACACACAAAGGAUACACACAAAGGAUAGUUGACACUUAGUUUGGGACAGGAUGAUUGUAACGCAGAGCACAAUUUUCAUCUAAAUAUUUGCUUGCCCUUGUGGAAGAGCUGUUAUCAUCCCAUCAGAUACCUUGACUACCACCCCUUCAAGGCUCCAUACAGCCAGCCAUCAGCCGUAGUAUCAGCAGGGCUUUCACAUGAAACUGAUAACAAUGGUGAAAUCAUUCCUGGGCAAGGCAGUCAUCUUUGCAUCUUCUUCGUUUUUUUCCCCUGUGAAAUCUCUUGUUUGCCUCAAUAGUUUUGAUUGAUUUGUUUGUGGUUUGAAGGGUGGGGGGUUAUUUUGAGAAGAUGGCUAUGUCAGUGUUGUGUCAGCCUUGUAUGGGGAGAAGGUUUGUUCUGGGAUAGGACAAUGUUGAGGUGUUUCCUAAAAAUGCAAGGAUGGGAUUGCUGUAAUAUCCUUAGAUACGAAUUCCAUGACAAAAUUUCACAGCUGAAAAUGCUUUUUUAUUGUUCUUCACGUACUUUAUUUGCAUUCUUGUGAUUUGUUUUGGUCUGAAGGACUGCAAGUGCCUUGCACGUUCAUGGAUCGAACUGUGAGUUGGGGCUGAGUGGAAGGAACUUUGGGAGGGCAGGGAUGGACACUGGGACCUGCGGAGGAUGGCUCUGCCCCCAGUAGCAAUGCUAAAACUCCUGCUCUGUACAGGUCUGCUUCCCAGGCUAUCGUUAACAUUCAGGUGAUGACUUUGUAAUUUUGCUUAGAGAUCCUUCAGUGGAAAAUACAGAAAUAGUGCUAGUACUUAUUUAUUAUGCAUAUGAAAAAUAGAGCACAAAAAGGAGAAAGGUACUCACAGGACUGUGCUGUAGAUUUGCCAGGCUACUGUUACCAGUGCCUUGGCAGGAAUGCUGUCAUCAUGGUGUAUUAUCUAUCAGGAUCACGCAAACAAAACGUUAUCACGUGGAUACGAAAGUUUGCUUAGUAAGCAGAUACGUGACCAAGGCAGCUUUGAAGCCUUUCUGAAGAAUCCUUCCUCCUUCUGCAGGAUGUUUAGUCUUUCUGUGGAAUUUCUGACUACGAACCUCAUUCUGCAGACUUUCAUUCUUGUGCCAUACAGAUGAGUAAGAAUUGCUCAGGUAACUGGGAGAUACAAGGAACUACGGCAAAUUCAGUCCCCGUUACAUCUGUGUGUUACAGGCGCAAUUACACCAGAGGGACCAAACUACAACCUUUCCAUUCCGGGUUCUCUAAAGGUAAAGAAGGGUGAAGGAGGGUUAUAAUGGGGCAUAGGCAGUGCCACAGCCCCGAACUAGCUUGGGAGGGGAACACUUUGACUCUAAAUACCUUCUGUGGUAACAACUCCUGAGGGUUGCGAAGAUAAUUUGCUACUUGGGUUCAUCUUUGAUUCAAUUUUUCUUGGUUUCUAUUUGGAAUAGGUAAGAAGGUAAAAGGCAAGCAUAACCUGUAACGUUAACGUGUGAAUAUUGUUUCAGGGAUUUGUUUUGGGGUUUGCACAGCAGAUUGUUUUGUGAGACAGAGCCUUUUAUAGAAACCAGACUAUUACUUAUAUUCUUUGGCAUUUCCAUUUAUGAAAGCUACUCAUGUUUACACACACGCGCGCACACAUACACACGCACGUGAUAUUGUUCAUAUAUAUUGUUCAUCUGGUAAGGAAGAAAUAAAAGAAGAAAUUGAUACCAGUCUGCAUAUGUGUUCAAAAGCUUAGUGAAUUCUUCAAGCUCUGCUGUGGAUCAGAUUUCAUGAAACUGCAAUAAAAAAAUCCUUUUUUACCUUGUC